rnacentral:lncRNA from 1 species
GGUCUCGUUGGACUCCGUUUUUCACCGCGAACCUCGUUGUAGGCUCAAUGUGGGCUGAAUCUCGAAGCGUCAAAUCCUAACAAUUUUCAAUACAGUUGGAAUUCAAAUUGAAAUGUCCAAUUUAAUACUAAAAGACUUUACCAAUUAAAUAAGCUAGUACUUGCAGUGUUCCCAUGCCAAAGCCGAAGCAUAUGGCAUUCAUAUUAAUGGUAUUGACUUUUUGAUUUUUUCAUGAAAUAGUUAUUUUACUUUUGCCGCAAUGAACUAACCAAUAAUAGAUCUUCAUGAGUAUUAUUAGUACUACUUCAGCUAAUGUAAAACAAAGUUGCAGAAUAACACCCCAACGGAAAUUAGUCUUGCCGCACAAGUUUGUUUACAGUAAGAUAUUUUGGAUUCUUGCGGUCCUUAUAUUCCUCAAAUGAUGGCAUCACUUAAUGUAACAUAUCAAAUCCGCAGAGGACAAGGAGGAGGCUCAUGCAUGGACUUAGAUGAAAUAACCUCUACUCGUUACACGCACGACACGCAUGUUUCGUUGCCUCUUGGUCGGGACCUUCCACAUGCCUUGGCGGUGCGGGCAAUGCAUGACGCAUGUGUGAUUUUUUUUUUUUU